UGUCUUGAGGUCAUUGACAUUGAUUG
rnacentral:piRNA from 1 species